ACGUAGGGUCCAAGCGUUGUCCGGAUUUACUGGGCGUAAAGCGCGCGUAGGCGGUCUGUUAAGUGCACAAGUGAAAGCUCCGGGCUCAACUCGGAAAUUGCUUUGCAUACUGGCAGGCUGGAGGGACGCAGAGGUCUGUGGAAUUUCCGGUGUAGCGGUGAAAUGCGUAGAUAUCGGAAGGAACACCUGUGGCGAAGGCGGCUACCUGGACCAGCACUGACACUGCGGCACGAAAGCGUGGGGAGCAAACAGGA
rnacentral:rRNA from 1 species